CGAACGGUAACAGGUCUUCGGAUGCUGACGAGUGGCGAACGGGUGAGUAAUACAUCGGAACGUGCCCGAGAGUGGGGGGAUAACGAAGCGAAAGCUUUGCUAAUACCGCAUACGAUCUCAGGAUGAAAGCAGGGGACCGCAAGGCCUUGCGCUCACGGAGCGGCCGAUGGCAGAUUAGGUAGUUGGUGGGAUAAAAGCUUACCAAGCCGACGAUCUGUAGCUGGUCUGAGAGGACGACCAGCCACACUGGGACUGAGACACGGCCCAGACUCCUACGGGAGGCAGCAGUGGGGAAUUUUGGACAAUGGGCGCAAGCCUGAUCCAGCCAUGCCGCGUGCAGGAUGAGGGCCUUCGGGUUGUAAACUGCUUUUGUACGGAACGAAAAGACUCUGGUUAAUACCUGGGGUCCAUGACGGUGCCGUAAGAAUAAGCACCGGCUAACUACGUGCCAGCAGCCGCGGUAAUACGUAGGGUGCGAGCGUUAAUCGGAAUUACUGGGCGUAAAGCGUGCGCAGGCGGUUAUGUAAGACAGAUGUGAAAUCCCCGGGCUCAACCUGGGAACUGCAUUUGUGACUGCAUAGCUAGAGUACGGCAGAGGGGGAUGGAAUUCCGCGUGUAGCAGUGAAAUGCGUAGAUAUGCGGAGGAACACCGAUGGCGAAGGCAAUCCCCUGGGCCUGUACUGACGCUCAUGCACGAAAGCGUGGGGAGCAAACAGG
rnacentral:rRNA from 1 species